rnacentral:lncRNA from 1 species
GUUUGCGGAUAACAAUGCACAACGAAAACACUUGAACUGUAUUGCACGUACAUUGCGUCGGAUAACAAUGCACAACGAAAACACUUGAACUGUAUUGCACGUACAUUGCGUCGGAUAACAAUGCACAACGAAAACACUUGAACUACAUUGCACGUACAUUGCGUCGGAUAACAAUGCACAACGAAAACACUUGAACUGCAUUGCACGUAUAUUGCGUCAGGUAACAAUGCACAACAAAACCACUUGAACUGUAUUGCACGUAUAUUGCGUCAGGUAACAAUGCACAACAAAACCACUUGAACAAUUGCGUCAGAUAAAAACGCACACUUGAGCAAACUUCCGGAUGAAGCGAAGCAUCGAAAUCUAUUCUUCUACACCAACCGCUUAGUGUGUUGCAAAAAAUUUCAACCUUGCAAGCCAAGUUCUUUACCGACGCCCCCCCCCCCCUAAUUUAUUAAUCAAUUUGUACACAAGUCUGGCUUUCAUUUGUACUCUGUGUUCUCUAAGGGUUAUCCCACCAAGUAAAUUGCGAGCCAAUAAGGAUGUCCAGACUCAGUUUUGAAAUUCAUAAUUAACUAGCCGCCCUAUUUUGCAGAUUUUGAAGAUGAUCACUAUAAAGCGGUUUACCUGUUACGUCCCAAACUUCGCAACAGUUACUGUAAUAUCUUUAUUUAACCUCUCUUUGUUCUAAGUGGAGCAUGUUUGUCCAGUACUUGGAUAAAUAUUGGAUUUCUAGCAUUCCCACAUCUCAUAGACAUUUUGUUUAUAAUCUAAUUCAGUCCAAGGCAACAUGUACAAGUCAUAAAGUUUGUUCGUUCACUGCAACCAGGUAUAUCAAUCAUGUUUCGCUCGCUACUCUGGUUUAAAUAAAUGAUUACAAAGCCCAGUCGAAUUGUAAUCAAGACCCAACGUUUCGACACUCCAGUCUAGUGUCUUCAUCAGGGGUGAUCUAAAACUGCGAUCGUGGCUUCUUAAUACCCAAGGGAU